UAAUAAAAAAGAAUAUUUUAAAAAGAAUAAAAUUCACCGAAAAAUACUACGAACUCCUUGUAACAUGCGCUUUCAUCUAUGAUAUCAAAUUCACAAUUGGACCCCAAAAAUUUCCAUUUCCAAGUUUCACAUAAAACUGAAAACUGAAAAUUGAAAUCAAUUACCAAACAUCUUGUGUUUAGUUUUCACUUUUCACUUUUUUUGAAAAUUGAAAUUAGUUACCAAACAAGUUUUCAAUUUUCAGUUUUUGAAAACUGAAAAUUGAAAAUUGAAAAAUAAAAACUGAAAACUGAAAACUGAAAUGGUUAUCAAAUUGGCCCUAAAUGAAGUAAGAGGUAGUUGAAGUUUUUGGUAUUGGAAAGUGAAGUGAAUGCAUCUUUAUACAAGGGCUUGUGCGUUGUGGGCAACAAAAGGUCUACAUUUACUAAGAACUAGGAUUGAUUUUGUAGAGAUCU